rfam:Picea glauca, whole genome shotgun sequence.
ACAUGCCUACAACAUAGUGUUAAUGCACUGGAUCCCAUUAGAACUACGUAGUUAAGCACGCUCAGGAUAGAGUAGUACUGGGAUGGGUGACUUCCUGGGAAGUCCUAGUGUUUUACAUGCC